CAGAGGCAGAGAUUGGAGUGAGGCUUCCACAAGCCAAGGAACACCAAGGAUUGUCGGCCUGCAGCAGAAGUAUGCUGCCACAGCAUGGCUUGAUAUGUGGUGUGUAGGCCCUUGCAUGGGAUCUGAACCUGUGGACCGUGGGCCGCCGAAGUGGAGCGUGCAAACUUAACUACUAAGCCACCAGGCACAGAACAACGCUCAAGCAGUAAGGAAAAAAAGUUCCAUCCUCUCUUCUCCCAGCUUAUUUGCAGCUGGAGUCGUGAAAGAUAUUCACCUCAAGUCACCUACCAUUCAAGCUGACUCUGCACCAAAACAAUACUAUCUACAGAUGCUCUGAGAGGAAGAGAAGCUGCCCGCCAAUACAAGGAGGAGGAGCAGCCAGUGAUGCACCUAAAUGGACAGGCAUUACAGAGGCCAAAAGAAUGCAAAUGACGUUUUAAAGCCAAGGCCUCAUGGGGAAGCUUUCAAAUUUUUCUUUAAAAAUCUGGCUGAUUAGUAGAGUUGAAUUUUAACAAUCAGCAAGUAAAUUUGCGACAAACCCCUACGUGAGUCUGAGUCUACCUUUAUC
rnacentral:lncRNA from 1 species